CCCCGUCUCACCCAGGUGACCCUGCUGACCUUUGGUGCCCUGGAGAAAAGCCCGUCAAUGAGCAGGUAUGCACUGAACACACAAACACUUCUGCAGCUAGUUUGACAAUUCAAACAUCUCAUGCCGAAGACUCUAUUUGACAAGCGUCCUCCGACAUGGCGCUUAUGGAGGUUGCUGACCUCGCUGUUUGUUUACUACUGCAGCAGAGAACUAUUUAACUCCCAGCACAAGAGAGCAAAUUGACAGACAUCCAGGAAUGAAAGGUGUAUUUAGCUGCAAGCGAAUGAACUGACAAACCUUUUCUCCCGGCUUUCCUCUUUCCCCAAUUUCGCCAGGUUUACCCUCCUGACCCUGGUAAAAAGAAAAAUCGAACAGGGCUGUAAGCGGACCAAAGGAGCUGUCUUUUUUCUUGGCACCGAAUGAAAUUUGGAGCUCCUCCUGAGACAACUCACCCUCACCCCCACCAGUCCGGGAGGCCCAGGUUCUCCAGGCAGUCCUCUGUCUCCACGCUUUCCCGGCGGCCCCUGUCAGGAAUGAUGACAGCCUUCAUUAUUCUGUACCAUUGUAAAAGUCAGUGGGAUUUCUUAUACUGGCUGUGUGAUCAACUCACCGCCGGUCCCAUCUCCCCGAGUGACCCAAUCGUUCCCGGUGGCCCCGCUGGUCCCUGCAGCAACAGAGCAGAGGCAUCAAUAAAAAAAGGGCCAGGAGUCAGGUGACGUCAAGAUGGAGGCAAUCAGAGCCGUCACGCUGAGCUUCAAAACUGUUCGUGGGUGACGCCAUGUAGAGUCCAUUCAACUUAAUAUACAGCUUUAGCACAGCGACGGAGCGACUUGGCACUUGACACACAGAGCAGCUUGUUGUCCUAAUGAUGUGCCCCGCUGCCACAUGCCAUGCCUACAUCCUCUCCAAAGCGCCGCAUCAAAUGCAGAGAGGCGGCCGACACACCAGCCCAGUGUGGCCUUCCUGUCGCCUCCCUCAACGUUCCAUAUGAAUGAAAGGAGGUGAAUGCAGCCAAAUGGAACAUCCCCUCUUCCCUCUGGAGGGAGAGGAAAUGAAGCCUGGAGGAGACUCUCGGAGGUCAGCCAAUCACAAUCUGGCGCUGACCCCGUCAAUCACGAGCGGCGAGGGUCAAGCCGAAGAAAGAGGAGCAGUGAGUGAAACUGCUGACGCUGCCCUUCAUAUCAGUGUGGAUUAUGAUGGGUGAGUGAGUUUGUGAAUGACUGCAGGUCUUUGGCUCGCAGUCAAUCUUGUGGAGGUAAAAAAAAAAUAAAAAUGUGCCGCUAUGAAACAAGAUGUAAGCAAGCUGUGACUCUGCCACUGUGCAUUUUUCAGAAAUAGUGCAGCGGUUUAUCUGGACUUACGUCAAAUAGCAUAGCAGCAUUUGUUUUCAGUGUGUAAAAGAAUUGAAUCAUUUCUUGUAAAGCCCUUUGUACUGCAUUUUUAGAGGAAUUGUGCAAAAGAAAUGGAAUUUUAGACACAUAAUCACAAUAUGCAUCAUUCCUUUUGAAUUAUGACAUUUUCUCAGGAAAUUAUGUUCAACCAGCAAAUAUGAAUCAGCUUUCCCUCUAAAAUCAAAGAUAUUUUUAGUCUUUACUGUAUGAAACUGUCCUUUCAUGAUAAGAUCAAGGAAUAGAUUUGAAAUUCUGAACUCAAAGUCAAGCAUUAAAGACAGUUUCACAAAGUUGCCUCAAUUUGAAUUCAGUUUAUCAUCAAGUAAUGCAGAAAUUACACUAUCAGUUACACACAAUAUUAAGUUGAUGUAAUUGCUGGCGUUGUGGUGUCAACGCAAGCCUUCAAAAUGAAGUUUGAAGCUUAAAAUUGUAAUCCAAACCAGUAAAUUAGAUUUUUUUUGUUAUGCAACCUUGCAUUUCAUUGAGUAGCGGGAAUAUUUCUCAUGAAUUACCUUUUAGAGUGCAUUAUCAUUGUCUCCAAUGUUUUGGACUCCAGGCAUAUACAGAAGGAGUCGCAUUGUGCAAAUUUAAUUAAGUUGUGCAGGUAUCCAUUUCUUUAAUAAUACACUAGUUUAUCUGGACUUAAAACUUCAAAUAACAUAGAAGUACUUGUUUUAAGUGCGUAAGAAAGUGUAGUAAUUGCUCAUAAAGGCUGUUGCACUGCAUUUCUAGAGGAGAUGUGUUAAAUUAAGUUUUAGAAUACUCAAUACAGAAAGAUUAAUGCAACAGCCACAAGAUGCUUCAAUCUUUGUGAAUUGUGAGAUUUUCUACGAAAAUCAUGUUCAAACAAUCAACUAUAUUGAGUUCAGUGAAUCAGCUUUUCCUCUACAAUCCAAUGUAUUUUUAGUCUUUCAUGUCAGAAAUUGUCCAAGCAUGUUCAGAUAAAGGAGAAGACUUAAAAACAUGGAUUCAAGAUUUUUAAAAAAAAUGUUUUUAAGCUUAUUUCAUUAAGUUACCUGGACUUGUAUUCAGUUUUCAAUCAAUUAAAGCAGAAGUUUAUGUUGAAAGUACACACAGUAUUAGGUUGGUGCAAUUACUAGCACUAUUAUGUCAACCCAGCCCUUUUAAACAAAAUUUGAAACUCAAAAAGUUAAUCUACAUCAGUAAAUUGUACAAUAUUUUUUCCUGGGAAUAGCUCGCUUGAAUUACUUUUUGGUGUGUAUAACUGUUAUCUGUUCACAUCUGGGGAAAUCUCUCUUAGUACCAAUGUUUUGGACUUCAGGGACGUCCAGGAGAAAUUAAUAAUAUGCUAGUAUUUUUAGAGGAAAUAUGCUAAAUAAAUGAAACUUUAUAGAACUCAUACAAAAAAUAAUGCAAAAGCCACAAAAUGCGUCAGUCUUUAUGACUUAUGACUUUUUCUAAUGAAGCUAUGUUCAACCAACAAACUAUGUUGAGUUCAGAGUUCAGCUUUUCCUUUACAGUCAAAUUUAUUUGUCAUCUUUACUGUAAAAAAAAAUUGUCCUGACAUCUUAAGAUAGAGGAGAAGACUUCAAAUCCUGAACUCAAAGUGAAGACAAUUAGGUUUUCAAGCCAUUUUCAUUAAUUUGCCUCGAAUUGAGUUCAAUUUUCAAUCAAAUAAUGCUGAAAUGUGAGUCUGAAUUGCUCAUAAUAUUAAACUGACGCAAUUACUAACAAUUUUAUGUCAACACAACUCAUCAAAAUAAAGUUUGAAACUUAAAAGUUCA